rnacentral:rRNA from 1 species
GACGAACGCUGGCGGCGUGCUUAACACAUGCAAGUCGAACGGAGAGGCCCUGCUUUUGUGGGGUGCUCGAGUGGCGAACGGGUGAGUAACACGUGAGUAACCUGCCCUUGACUUUGGGAUAACUUCAGGAAACUGGGGCUAAUACCGGAUAGGAGCUCCUGCUGCAUGGUGGGGGUUGGAAAGUUUCGGCGGUUGGGGAUGGACUCGCGGCUUAUCAGCUUGUUGGUGGGGUAGUGGCUUACCAAGGCUUUGACGGGUAGCCGGCCUGAGAGGGUGACCGGCCACAUUGGGACUGAGAUACGGCCCAGACUCCUACGGGAGGCAGCAGUGGGGAAUAUUGCACAAUGGGCGGAAGCCUGAUGCAGCAACGCCGCGUGCGGGAUGACGGCCUUCGGGUUGUAAACCGCUUUCGCCUGUGACGAAGCGUGAGUGACGGUAAUGGGUAAAGAAGCACCGGCUAACUACGCG